GACGAACGCUGGCGGCGUGCUUAAUACAUGCAAGUCGACUGAACUUAAGGUAGCAAUAUUUUAAGGGAGGUGGCGCACGGGUGAGUAACACGUAGGUAAUCUGCCUUUAGGACUGACAUAACUCCGCGAAAGCGGAGCUAAUUUCAGAUGAUGCAGCGGCUCGACAUCGAGACAGUUGUUAAACCUUCGGGGCCUAAAGAUGAGCCUGCGUCUGAUUAGGUAGUUGGCGGAGUAAUAGCCCACCAAGCCAUCGAUCAGUAGCUGGUCUGAGAGGAUGAUCAGCCACACUGGAACUGAGACACGGUCCAGACUCCGUACGGGAGGCAGCAGUAAGGAAUAUUGCUCAAUGGACCGAAAGGCUGAAGCAGCAACGCCGCGUGG
rnacentral:rRNA from 1 species